CCAGUAUCUUGUGCACAAGUGUAUUUUAGAGCUAAAGUAUGGAGCAUUUGUCCUUGAAAACUACACGAUGUAUCUAUUAAUGUUGAAAAAACUGCUUUGUGUUUUACUUCUAUGUCUCGCAAACUGGCACAUCCCUGAAGCUGGAAUGUUUCUAUGGAUUAAAAUCAAGGGAAUUUCCUGUGAACAGUGAAUGGCUAUAAACCAGGCUUUCCAGAAUGAGAUGCUGCUGUUCUCCAAUCAAGCUUUUAACAGUGUUGACUCAAAUCCUAGCUUCUACAUAAGAGUGUCUUUCUCUUCACCUUCUCAAGACCAGAUGGAUCAAGCUUUUCAAAGGCUGGCUACACUUAUAAAAGAAGCUGCUUGAAGAGAUCAAGAGAAGAGCCAUUGGUGAACUUUUCAGGAAACAGACAACAUUUUUACAUUGUCUGUAAUGAUGUAUUCAUUAAAAAUUACUGCAGACCUCUUGUUCCCUAGAGCUCACAACUGUUUUGAGAACUUCUCUCAUACUGUAAUUACAGCAACAGAAUUUAACUGUGUUGUAAUUCUA